CCCUGGUCUGAGUGCCGUGGUGUUUACAACUAAUUGAUCACGAUCACUUAUAGAGUCCUUUGUUCCUUCUCCACUCCCACUGCUUCACUGGACUAGCCUUAA
rnacentral:Y_RNA from 1 species